GUGCAGCAGGCGCGAAUCUUCCACAAUGGGGAAACCCUGAUGGAGCGACGCCGCGUGCGGGAUGAAGGCCCUAUGGGUUGUAAACCGCUGUUCAGUGGAAAGAACAUCCUCCGGCUGAAUAGGUCGGAGGCCUGACGUUACCACUGCAGAAAGUCCCGGCAACUCCGUGCCAGCAGCCGCGGUAAUACGGGGGGACGAGCGUUGUCCGGAAUCAUUGGGCGUAAAGGCGCGUAGGCGGCGAGGAAAGUCGAAUGUGAAAUCUUGCGGCUCAACUGCAAAACUGCGUUCGAAACUUCCUCGCUUGAGUAUGAGAGAGGUGUGCGGAAUUU
rnacentral:rRNA from 1 species